AACUUAACCCUGUGUGCGCCUGACACUCCCUAGAGAAGCUGGGAUCGACUAGGAAACCGCAGGCAGCGGCUCCCGGGGGCGAGAGCUUUGUUCACGUGCGUUUCCAGUGGGUGUGUUGCUGUCUAGGGGCACUCGCGUGGCAAGACGCCCGUGGCUGGCUUCCAGCGCCCAAGAUUCAAGGAAGGGAAGGAGCCCUAGCGUUUCAUCCGGACCAGACCCAGCCCUCGGAGUCUAUUUUUUGCCUCCAGUUACCGGAUUUAUUGAAGUUGCCAGCGAAGUUGGUUUUAUUCCUUUACUUCUCUGCUCUCCGCCCCCGUCCACAUCCCCCAACCCUGUAUUAUUUCCUGUCCUAGCUGCGCUUUAAAGAUUCGGAACUUUUCACUCGUUCUAGCUACAGAUUUUAACUGUGUUCCGUGUGCGAGACGAAUUGUGGAGGGCACCCACCCACCCAUGCCAAGUGUAAAUGAAACCGCAAGAAAAGCUGCCUCCCACUCACCCAUCCAGUGUCCGAGUAAGCCUAAUGACACACAUUCACAUAACUAAGAAGACACGGGAAGAUAGGGGUGCGGAGGACGGAGUUUGAUGUGUGAAUGGGAAAUGGAGAGAGGGGACAGCGCGCGCGAGAGAAACAGCGCGAGCCUGAGCCUUAGAAUGGAAUAAACGGGAAACACACACAAGAAUGACGAUGCAAAAAAUGUAUCUAAGUCCCAACAUUGACAGCAGAGGGUCAGCUUUAAGCGCCUACAUUUUGAUCCGCGAAAUUUCCCAGCUUUUUUGGAGGCGGUUACAUAGAGAACACAGGAGCCUCUGCCUUGGCCGCCCAGAUGCUUUGCAUUUUGUAAACAGCUUUGACUAAGUGCUCUGGACUUCCAAGAAGUUAACUGGAGUGGAAGGCGAGUCAUAUUGUGGAUGCGGAAUGGAAGCUUAGACAAGAAAAAACUGUCAGCAGAGCGCCUCUGCUCUCACCGUCACACCCAAAUGAGCCAGGACGUCGCUCAGAGCGCAAACUGAGAUCCACACAGGGACAUCUUCAACCGAAUCUUUCUUCUGUCUCCAUUCCGGACUAAGGAAAGAAAGAAAGAAAUACGGAGCCUUUAUAGAGUAUUCAGAGGCUACACACAUGGAUCUUGCUGAAACGGAGUUAUUUAAAAACAGAGAAAGUGUGUUUUCCCAUGAGAUAGAUGUUAUAGUUUCUCUCUGAAACAUACCCAAGUCUAUGGGUGUCAAUAAUAGCCAUUUCAAAUGCCUCUCUGAGCCUUGCCAGCCCCAGAAGAGGCUGUGGGAAUGCUGCUUCCAGCUUCCCCUGUGCAGAACUCCGUUGUAAAUCCUUCUGAGUUUCCAAGGUGGCAGCAGAGCAUAGGGAUAGCUCCUCAAGCUCCAGCAUCAACAAGGAAGAUCACAUUUUAGGACAAAUACUCAUCUACCUGCAUUUAAACAUCCAUUUUCGUAUUGUCCAGUAUGGAACUUUCACCUGAUUGAAGCUCAAAACAUGGUUGCUGAAUUCACAAAUAAGCUCCCCUGUCAGGUAGAGAGCAUCUUUUUCUCCAAGGUGUGGACCAGUGUAAGGAAACCCAUGCCUACCACACUAUGGAGAAGUGGGUUUUCUUUUCUCUCAUGAAUAUAAAGUACUCAAUCUAUGACAUCCUUUAGUGAGUGUGACUUGAUUCAUGUGAACCUGUGACAUUGAAAUGCAUACCUUCUGAUUUUGAAACACUACUCUACAGUAAAUGGCUCAUCCAUUUAUCCAACACACAUCUGUAGAAAACACAAAACAUGUAGCAGGCCCUUGAUGAAUAGAUUCAGUCCCUAUCUGUCAAACCUCAAAGUCUAGAGGAGACCCAUAGAAAAAUAAUUAUCCUCUCUUUAGGGAAAUAUAACAAUUUAGAUAUAUACAAAGUACUUUUGUGCCCUGAAACAGGUUCUCUCUAGAGAAAAGACCUCAUUCAAAUGAUGAUGAGGCUCUUUUCACAAUGUACUGAUUUUACCAGGGACUUCGUAGCAUUAUUUUAUAUCCAGCCUUCUGCAUACAGCAGCCCCAGCUACUGGAGUCCCCAGUCUCGAGGAAAGUCCUUUGGGCCAAGAAUUGGAAAAUCAGCAUGGAAGUAAUUGCUUGAAUAUCCAUUUCCUCAAGCCGUGGUUUCUUUGCCUUUCUGUGCAGGUUACAAGAUGAUUAUGCGUGAACAAAAACAGAAGGUACAUACUGGCAGGAAACAAAAGCACGUUAAACCAUGGAGAUUUCCUCUUACAUAAACCUGCCAUUUGUUAAGCAGUUGCUGUCUGUUCCACAGGGAAGCUGGCAAAAACUUGAUACAAACAUUCUCCAACUGCACUGGGAGGAAUAAGUGAAGGUAACACCUUUUUAAGAAGGGCAUACAAAGAGAUAAAAGAUCUACCUAGGGACUUACUCAAACCUAGAUGCUACCAUUGUACAAAAUGUUACCAAGUCUACCUAUAUCUAACUAUAGUUCUGAUAAAGAGGGAAGUGAUGUUUUAAUUUGGGAAAACACACUUAAUCAAACAUGUAAAUGAGAUUCUGAAUUAAAAUUCAUAUGUAUUUUCUCUCACUAUCUAUCAACGUGCUAGAAAAAUAAAAUUGCCUUCUUUGGAAGGACAGGGGCAAUUUUCAAGAGUGCUUAUUCAAAGAAAAAAAUGAAUAUUUGCACUCAAACUUUAUGCAGUUAGAAGAAGGUCUGAGCUUGGUCUUGGAAGAUCUUACUUCAUGUCUCCAUCUUACCAGGGAAAUCACGUAACUGCUCUGAGCCUCAGCAUCCCUUCUAUCAAAUAAAAAAAGUAUAAUAAAGAUCAUCUUUCAGGGUAGGUAUGAAAAGAUCAAGUAAAGUGAGGUGUUUCAAAACUCAAAAUAAAAAUAAGCUGUCAUUAUUUAUAUAAUUAAUGUGUUUAUAUAAUAUAUAAAUAUAUAUAAUGUAUAUAUGUAUAUAAUUUAUAUAAUUAAAUAAUAUAAAUUAUAUAAACAUAAUUUAUAUAAUUAAUGUGAACACAAUUUAGUGUGAGAUAUAUUUUAGUCCAUCUAACCUUCAGCCACUUCAUGGAGUUUUAAUUGCAUUGGUACUUCCUGCUUUGCUGGUACCCUUGUUCCAUAUAACCUCUGAGAGCUUCAAAGGUGUAGAGCUGCUUAAUUCCUGCACAGUUAACUCUGCAGUGCUUUCAGGUGUCACCAUUUGCUACCCUAGAAAUAAACUUGACCUACCCUAGAAAUAAACUUCCUCAAACCA
rnacentral:lncRNA from 1 species